rnacentral:lncRNA from 1 species
NUAAGACCUAUUUAUAUUCAAGCAUCUUGACAUGAGGUAGAAUACAACAAAACAUAAAACCACAUAUAUAUAUAUAUAUAUCAUUCAAUUACCCUCCCAAUUAAGACCUAUUUAUAUUCAAGCAUCUUGACAUGAGGUAGAAUACAACAAAACAUAAAACCACAUAUAUAUAUAUAUAUAUCAUUCAAUUACCCUCCCAAUUAAGACCUAUUUAUAUUCAAGCAUCUUGACAUGAGGUAGAAUACAACAAAAAGUUAAUCCGAAUCAUACACAUGAAGAAAUUAUAAUAAAAAAUAAAACAAAGUAAAAACAGAAGCAUCAUAAUACUAACGGUAAAGGGAAGGGGUGAACAAUAAGAA